CCUACGGGUGGCAGCAGUAGGGAAUUUUGCGCAAUGGGCGAAAGCCUGACGCAGCAACGCCGCGUGAUUGAUGAAGCCCUUCGGGGUGUAAAGAUCUGUCAGUGGGGACGAAACUUGACGUUACCCACAGAGGAAGCACCGGCUAACUCCGUGCCAGCAGCCGCGGUAAUACGGAGGGUGCAAGCGUUGUCCGGAUUCAUUGGUGGUAAAGAGUCCGUAGGUGGCUUAGUAAGUCUGGUGUUAAAUGCAGAGGCUCAACUUCUGUUCGGCACUGGAAACUGGUAAGCUGGAGGGCGGUAGAGGUAAAGGGAAUUCCUGGUGUAGCGGUGAAAUGCGUAGAUAUUAGGAGGAACAUCGGUGGCGUAGGCGGUUUACUGGGCCGUAAUUGACACUGAGGAACGAAAGCCGGGGUAGCAAAUGGGAUUAGAUACCCGGGUAGUC
rnacentral:rRNA from 1 species